rnacentral:tRNA from 1 species
GGCCUGGUGGUACAGUGGUGAAGUGUUUGGCUGCUAACCAAAAAGGUUGGUGGUUCAAAUCCACCAGCCA